rnacentral:rRNA from 1 species
GUUUGAUACCCCGAAACUACGUGAGCUACUUCAAGACAGCCUAUUAAUAGGGCUAACCCAUCUCUGUGGCAAAAGCGUGGAAAGAACUUUGAGUAGAGGUGACAAACCUACCGAACCUAGUUAUAGCUGGUUGUCCAAGAAAUGAAUAAAAGUUCAGCCUCUAAGCUUCUCCUUUCACCUGAACUUAACCCCUUUAGAUGUAUUAAAGAAACUAAGAAAGUUAGUCAAAGGAGGUACAGCUCCUUUGAAUCAAGACACAACUUUAACAGGCGGGUAAAGAUCAUAAUAACCAAAGCUAGACAUUCUGGUGGGCCUAAAAGCAGCCAUCCCUUAGAAAGCGUUAAAGCUCAAACAUAUUACUUAUACCUUCUUAUCCUGAUCAAUAAAUCUCACCCCCCUAACCAUACUGGACCCUCCCAUGCCCCCAUGGGUGUGAUUAUGCUAAUAUGAGUAAUAAGAGAGCCCGCCUCUCUCCCUGCACACGUGUACCUCGGAACAGACAACCCACCGACCAUUAACGACCCCAAACAAAGAGGGUAAUAAAUCAUAAACUAAAAUCAAGUAAAACAUUUAAAAAUUAACCGUUAACCCCACACAGGUGUACCCCAAGGAAAGACCUAAAGAAAGAGAAGGAACUCGGCAAACACAUAAAGUCUCGCCUGUUUACCAAAAACAUCGCCUCUUGUACCCCCC